UUAACCUCCAAAUCACCAGGUUUUCAAUAAAUAAUUGAAUACUUCAUAGUUUAAUUGUUUAAAGGUUGAUCCAAAAAAAUCAUUUAAUUCAGAUAACAUAACAAACAGGUCAAAAUAGGAAAAAAUUCAUGAACAAGUUUUUUUGUAAGUAAACAAAUUUGAAAUCAGCUGAAUUAAAAAAUAUUAGGAAUCUAUUGAAAAUUAAAAACUAAUUGUAUGAAAGAAGUAAAAGUAAGUAAAGUAAAUUAUUUUUGGAUAACCUGUAACACAGGAUUUUUUCUUCUCAACCUUAAAUUAUUCACCCUGGAAUAGAGAUCAUGGAGUAUCAUAUGAGUAAACUCACAACAAACACUAACAAUUUUUAACAGGAGAAUUGAACAACUGUCUGUUGGCCAUUGUUUUUGAUUCUUUCAUGCUAUUAAAUGGAGGUGUUUCAUGUUUUCUUGGUGACUUCAAUGGUGAUUUAAAGCAGGAUCUACAAACAGCAAGGUAUUUGUCUGCUCCUCCAAUUAUUUCAAC
rnacentral:lncRNA from 1 species